UACGGGGGGAGCAAGCGUUAAUCGGAAUUACUGGGCGUAAAGGGUGCGUAGGUGGUUAGAUAAGUUGGGCGUGAAAUUCCCGGGCUUAACCUGGGGACUGCGUUCAAGACUGUAUGGCUAGAGUAUGGGAGAGGUAAGUGGAAUUUCCGGUGUAGCGGUGAAAUGCGUAGAGAUCGGAAGGAACACCCGUGGCGAAGGCGACUUACUGGACUGUUACUGACACUGAGGCACGAAAGCGUGGGGAGCAAACAGG
rnacentral:rRNA from 1 species